rnacentral:rRNA from 1 species
GCGAACGGGUGAGUAACGGGUGGAAAACCUGCCCUUCAAUGGGGGAUAACAGUUCUAACGAGCUGCUAAUACCGCAUACGACCUUUGGUCCGCAUGUUCCGAAGGUGAAAGGUGGCCUCUCUUUGAAGCUGCCGUUGAAGGAUGGUUCCGCCUCCCAUUAGCUUGUUGGUGGGGUAAUGGCCUACCAAGGCGACGAUGGGUAGCCGGCCUGAGAGGGUGUCCGGCCACACUGGGACUGAGAUACGGCCCAGACUCCUACGGGAGGCAGCAGUCGAGAAGCUUCGGCAAUGGGCGAAAGCCUGACCGAGCGAUGCCGCGUGAGUGAAGAAGGCCCUAUGGGUUGUAAAGCUCUGUCAGAUUGGGAAGAAAAUCCUACGGUUAAUACCCGUGGGACUUGACGGUACCAUCAGAGGAAGCACCGGCUAACUCCGUGCCAGCAGCCGCGGUAAUACGGAGGGUGCAAGCGUUGUUCGGAUUCACUGGGUAUAAAGGGUGCGCAGGCGGCUUGAUAAGUCAGGGGUGAAAUAUGACGGCUUAACCGUCAAACUGCCCCUGAAACUGUCAGGCUUGAGUUCGAGAGAGGUAGGUGGAAUUCCAGGUGUAGCGGUGAAAUGCGUAAAUAUCUGGAGGAACACCGGUGGCGAAAGCGGGCUACUGGCUCGAUACUGACGCUCAGGCACGAAAGCAUGGGGAGCGAACGGGAUUAGAUACCCCGGUAGUCAUGUCGUAACGAUG